CCUACGGGAGGCUGCAGUGAGGAAUAUUGGUCAAUGGACGAGAGUCUGAACCAGCCAAGUAGCGUGAAGGAUGACUGCCCUAUGGGUUGUAAACUUCUUUUAUAUGGGAAUAAAAUGUUCCACGUGUGGGAUUUUGUAUGUACCAUAUGAAUAAGGAUCGGCUAACUCCGUGCCAGCAGCCGCGGUAAUACGGAGGAUCCGAGCGUUAUCCGGAUUUGUUGGGUUUAAAGGGAGCGUAGGUGGAUUGUUAAGUCAGUUGUGAAAGUUUGCGGCUCAACCGGAAAAUUGCAGUUGAAACUGGCAGUCUUGAGUACAGUAGAGGUGGGCGGAAUGCGUGGUGUAGCGGUGAAAUGCUUAGAUAUCACGAAGAACUCCGAUUGCGAAGGCAGCUUACUGGACUGCAACUGACACUGAGGCUCGAAAGUGUGGGUAUCAAACAGGAUUAGAUACCCCAGUAGUC
rnacentral:rRNA from 1 species